rnacentral:lncRNA from 1 species
UUUUCUUUCUUUCGUUGAUUUGUAUGCCACGCACUCGCUCUCAAGGCGAACCGCUCUAUUUACGAAUCAACGAUAUCGAACUAUAUCUCCGAGUCUUACGACGAAUUCGGGAAUAUCGUGCUGAAAACAAUCUCCCUCCUAUAAACCUUCCAGAUUUCAAAAACAUUUUUCCUUCUUUAACCGAGAUGGCAGAACCAGCUCGUGCUCUUAGAGAUUACGCCGCUCCAUCGCAAGAUGAACCGCAUUCAAGUAUUG